UCCAGGGUAGCCUAGUGGUCAUGGCAUCUGCCCGGUAAGGGGAAGGUCGUGGGUUCGAUUCCCAUCCCUUGAAA
rnacentral:tRNA from 1 species